rnacentral:rRNA from 1 species
AGGGAUCAUUACAGAGUUCAUGCCCUCACGGGUAGAUCUCCCACCCUUGUGUAUUUAUACCUUUGUUGCUUUGGCAGGCCGCCUGGGCUCCUGCCUGGCCACCGGCUCCCGGGCUGGUGCGUGCCUGCCAGAGGACCUCCAAACUCUAGUUAUCAGUGUUGUCUGAGUACUAUACAAUAGUUAAAACUUUCAACAACGGAUCUCUUGGUUCUGGCAUCGAUGAAGAACGCAGCGAAAUGCGAUAAGUAAUGUGAAUUGCAGAAUUCAGUGAAUCAUCGAAUCUUUGAACGCACAUUGCGCCCUUUGGUAUUCCGAGGGGCAUGCCUGUUCGAGCGUNAUUUCAACCCUNAAGCCCUGCUUGGUAUUGGGCCCUGCCGGGAUGGCAGGCCUUAAAAUCAGUGGCGGUGCCGUCUGGCUCCAAGCGUAGUACAUCUNUCGCUCUGGAGGCCUGGCGGUGUCUUGCCAGAUAAUCCCAAUUAUAUCUUCUAUGGUUGACCUCGGAUCAGGAAGGGAUACCCGCUGAACUUAA